CCCCCCUCCCCUUCCCUGCCCUCCUCCCGUCAUCGCCCCGUGCGUACAAAGGAAUCUCGGUUGCACCCUCCGGCGUUAACCCGCAACUGAGUCGACCACAGAGGGGGAAAGCAGGACAUCCAAGACUGCUUUGCUGUGAUCUCCCCCUGAUUGAUCCAGAGAGCAUCAACUCAAACCCACAAGCAGAGAGAGGCUGCCCCAAGGAGGUAUUUCCUCGGCCCUUUGGAAAAUACCAGCUAUAAAAGAAAGCUGGAUUUACUGAGAAGUCAGUUGGCAGCCAGCACACACCUCAGCACAUUGGUCUCCCAGAGAGCAACGUUGCUUAAUGAGCAGCAGCUCCCUAAGAAUGUGUUAGAGCCUCUGCUGGUAUCAACUGACAUGGCUCCAUGGAGGAAUUCAACUCAGCUCUUGGCACAACAAAUCCCUUACCAGGAAUCACAUCCUUCUUCCAGGCAUGAUCCAGCCAUGCCCAGGACACUGAUGUCUCAUACCCUGUUUGGAAUGAUGCCUUGUCAAAGCUGACUCCUGCAUGGUGUUGCUGAAUUUUCUGAAGCACCUGAGUCAGCUCUUUGUGUGGUACAUGAACACCUUUUAAAACUCUGCAUCUGCAUAUGGAUGAAAGAGAGAGAGAAGCUCAAGUUUUGAUCUAGGACUACUGGUCCUGAAUCCUCAUGAAUAAAUCUUUGAAGUCUCUUGUUUUCAGAAGAGAACCAUUUCAUAUUGACUAUAACUCAGGGACCCAUCAGAGACAACAUCAUCUUUCAUCUCAGACAGUAAGACUGAGAGCGUGGAUGCUAAGUGUCAUAUGGCACAUUUGGACAUGAAGAGAGGAACCAGCACUUUGCAGUCAGGAGCAUCCACCAGUGAAAGCAGCUGGAACAGCUCUGUGGCAAGCAGGUCACAGCAGUUGAUACUGACCUCGAGAGAAUGAGGUGGGAUUUUGUGCUGGCUGAACUGAAAUAUGAACAUGAGGAUAAUGGAAAGCAAAGGCUUCAUGAAGAGAGAAUGGAGCGGAAAAAUCAAGUCAGUAAAAAGAUUGCUCAGCCAAGGACUCCAUGACCUGCUCCAUCCCCCAAACCAGUAUGCCUUGUUCAUAGACUGCUUCACUGACAUCCAUAUUAUUUGUACCACGAAGGAGCUGGCCACCUAUGUUUUCCAAACCCAUCACCUGUUCUGUUUUGCUAUUGUGCUCUUGUGCAUUCUCAAAAAGGUUUUUCAAGAUAACAACAACAAAAAGUUCUUAAAAAAGGCAGCACAUUGUGCUCUCUUUGCCCCUGUGUCAGCUGCUUUAUUAUCUCUUCCUCACUACACCAAUCUUGCAAUCUUGCAGGCAGGGUUUCAGCUAUUGUUAUAUGCACUGUAGCCUAAUUAUGGAAAAUGGAUUUCCUCAAUAAAACUGUGACUGAAUGGCAUCACUUGACAUCAUCCUGUCUCACCAGCUUUUGGCAUCAUUCAGGGCCAUUGGUCUAUACAAAAAGAAUUACACACAAUA